AGAGUUUGAUCCUGGCUCAGGAUGAACGCUGGCGGCAUGCCUAAUACAUGCAAGUCGAACGAGAGGAAGGAAAGCUUGCUUUCCUAAAUCUAGUGGCGAACGGGUGAGUAACACGUAGGUAACCUGCCCAUGUGCCCGGGAUAACUUCUGGAAACGGAUGCUAAAACCGGAUAGGUAGCAGACAAGCAUUUGACUGCUAUUAAAGUGGCUAAGGCCAUGAACAUGGAUGGACCUGCGGUGCAUUAGCUAGUUGGUGAGGUAACGGCCCACCAAGGCGACGAUGCAUAGCCGGCCUGAGAGGGCGGACGGCCACAUUGGGACUGAGACACGGCCCAAACUCCUACGGGAGGCAGCAGUAGGGAAUUUUCGUCAAUGGGGGGAACCCUGAACGAGCAAUGCCGCGUGAGUGAGGAAGGUCUUCGGAUCGUAAAGCUCUGUUGUAAGAGAAAAACGGCACUCAUAGGGAAUGAUGAGUGAGUGAUGGUAUCUUACCAGAAAGUCACGGCUAACUACGUGCCAGCAGCCGCGGUAAUACGUAGGUGGCGAGCGUUAUCCGGAAUGAUUGGGCGUAAAGGGUGCGUAGGUGGCAGAUCAAGUCUGGAGUAAAAGGUAUGGGCUCAACCCGUACUUGCUCUGGAAACUGAUCAGCUAGAGAACAGAAGAGGACGGCGGAACUCCAUGUGUAGCGGUAAAAUGCGUAGAUAUAUGGAAGAACACCGGUGGCGAAGGCGGCCGUCUGGUCUGGAUUCUGACACUGAAGCACGAAAGCGUGGGGAGCAAAUAGGAUUAGAUACCCUAGUAGUCCACGCCGUAAACGAUGAGUACUAAGUGUUGGGUGUCAAAGCUCAGUGCUGCAGUUAACGCAAUAAGUACUCCGCCUGAGUAGUACGUUCGCAAGAAUGAAACUCAAAGGAAUUGACGGGGGCCCGCACAAGCGGUGGAGCAUGUGGUUUAA
rnacentral:rRNA from 1 species